AGUUUCUUCAUUCUUAUCACUAAAAUGAAAGGCAAAUUAGGGUCUACCGACAGUUUCACAAUUCUUAGGGUGGAGCUUUGUGAGAAUUGAUAUAGCAGAGAGGAGUUCAGAAUAUUUCCACAGAAGCAGCUCUUGUGUUACUCUAUGUCAUUGUGCAGUUCUUCUUCAGACACUAUGAUGUUCUUUUACAUCACAGUUUUGACACUUCUUACAGAAGUUGUUUUUGCAAAUCCAAUCACGUCAAUCUCUACUGAAAAGCAUGCUUUAGAAGGAGAAAAGGUUACUCUUUCCUGCAGCUACAGUGAAAGUAAUAUAAGGAGUCUUCUGUGGUACAGACAGUAUCCCAAAACUGCCCCAGAAUUUCUCCUACAAGUUUUGGAAAAUAUGGGUCCAGAGAAGAAGGGCCGUCAUGUUGCUGAAACUCAUAAGGACAAGAAACAACUUGACCUGGAGAUCUCCAAAACUGAAUUGGCGGACGCUGCAAUAUACUACUGUGCCCUGGUGCCCACAGUAACUGGAAACCCUUCUUCACUGUACACAAACCUGUAUGACACUCACCUAACCUUGUCACUGAUCCAGUUGCUACUGUACAUGACAUUACAUGGAGAUCCAAUUCAUUAUAUCAAUUAUAUGGAUUAAUAGUCAUUUAGAGCUAGUCCCAUUACAGUAACAAUUCAUAUCAAGUUCUGAUCAUUAACAGUAAAAUGUCUCUGUUACAUGAGUAAUUACAAUGUAUAAGCACAAUGUUCCACUACAUGAUGACAAAUUAAGUGCAUAUUGUUCAUAUUUAUAUACUGAAUAUUGGGCAAUGAAACAAUUAGUAAUUCAGUUGUAAUACUGACACGCUGAAUGAUUUUAUCUACACUGUACAUCAUGUACAUCCUCUCUUUAUUUUUUAACAAUGUGUGAUAUAUAUAUAAACUAAACAUGUAAUAUUGAAA